UACGAAGGGGGCUAGCGUUGUUCGGAAUUACUGGGCGUAAAGCGUGCGCAGGCGGCCUUCCAAGUCAGGGGUGAAAGCCCAGAGCUCAACUCUGGAAUUGCCUUUGAGACUGUGAGGCUUGAGUACGGGAGAGGUGAGUGGAAUUCCCAGUGUAGAGGUGAAAUUCGUAGAUAUUGGGAAGAACACCGGUGGCGAAGGCGGCUCACUGGCCCGAAACUGACGCUCAUGCACGACAGCGUGGGGAUCAAGCAGG
rnacentral:rRNA from 1 species